UUAAGUUAUUAAGGGCGCACGGUGGAUGCCUUGGCACUAGAAGCCGAUGAAGGACGUUACUAACGACGAUAUGCUUUGGGGAGCUGUAAGUAAGCUUUGAUCCAGAGAUUUCCGAAUGGGGAAACCCAGCAUGAGUUAUGUCAUGUUAUCGAUAUGUGAAUACAUAGCAUAUCAGAAGGCACACCCGGAGAACUGAAACAUCUUAGUACCCGGAGGAAGAGAAAGAAAAUUCGAUUCCCUUAGUAGCGGCGAGCGAAAUGGGAAGAGCCCAAACCAACAAGCUUGCUUGUUGGGGUUGUAGGACACUCUAUACGGAGUUACAAAGGACGACAUUAGACGAAUCAUCUGGAAAGAUGAAUCAAAGAAGGUAAUAAUCCUGUAGUCGAAAAUGUUGUCUCUCUUGAGUGGAUCCUGAGUACGACGGAGCACGUGAAAUUCCGUCGGAAUCUGGGAGGACCAUCUCCUAAGGCUAAAUACUCUCUAGUGACCGAUAGUGAACCAGUACCGUGAGGGAAAGGUGAAAAGCACCCCGGAAGGGGAGUGAAAUAGAACCUGAAACCGUGUGCUUACAAGUAGUCAGAGCCCGUUAAUGGGUGAUGGCGUGCCUUUUGUAGAAUGAACCGGCGAGUUACGAUUUGAUGCAAGGUUAAGCAGUAAAUGUGGAGCCGUAGCGAAAGCGAGUCUGAAUAGGGCGUUUAGUAUUUGGUCGUAGACCCGAAACCAGGUGAUCUACCCUUGGUCAGGUUGAAGUUCAGGUAACACUGAAUGGAGGACCGAACCGACUUACGUUGAAAAGUGAGCGGAUGAACUGAGGGUAGCGGAGAAAUUCCAAUCGAACCUGGAGAUAGCUGGUUCUCUCCGAAAUAGCUUUAGGGCUAGCCUCAAGUGAUGAUUAUUGGAGGUAGAGCACUGUUUGGACGAGGGGCCCCUCUCGGGUUACCGAAUUCAGACAAACUCCGAAUGCCAAUUAAUUUAACUUGGGAGUCAGAACAUGGGUGAUAAGGUCCGUGUUCGAAAGGGAAACAGCCCAGACCACCAGCUAAGGUCCCAAAAUAUAUGUUAAGUGGAAAAGGAUGUGGCGUUGCCCAGACAACUAGGAUGUUGGCUUAGAAGCAGCCAUCAUUUAAAGAGUGCGUAAUAGCUCACUAGUCGAGUGACACUGCGCCGAAAAUGUACCGGGGCUAAACAUAUUACCGAAGCUGUGGAUUGUCCUUUGGACAAUGGUAGGAGAGCGUUCUAAGGGCGUUGAAGCAUGAUCGUAAGGACAUGUGGAGCGCUUAGAAGUGAGAAUGCCGGUGUGAGUAGCGAAAGACGGGUGAGAAUCCCGUCCACCGAUUGACUAAGGUUUCCAGAGGAAGGCUCGUCCGCUCUGGGUUAGUCGGGUCCUAAGCUGAGGCCGACAGGCGUAGGCGAUGGAUAACAGGUUGAUAUUCCUGUACCACCUAUAAUCGUUUUAAUCGAUGGGGGGACGCAGUAGGAUAGGCGAAGCGUGCGAUUGGAUUGCACGUCUAAGCAGUAAGGCUGAGUAUUAGGCAAAUCCGGUACUCGUUAAGGCUGAGCUGUGAUGGGGAGAAGACAUUGUGUCUUCGAGUCGUUGAUUUCACACUGCCGAGAAAAGCCUCUAGAUAGAAAAUAGGUGCCCGUACCGCAAACCGACACAGGUAGUCAAGAUGAGAAUUCUAAGGUGAGCGAGCGAACUCUCGUUAAGGAACUCGGCAAAAUGACCCCGUAACUUCGGGAGAAGGGGUGCUCUUUAGGGUUAACGCCCAGAAGAGCCGCAGUGAAUAGGCCCAAGCGACUGUUUAUCAAAAACACAGGUCUCUGCUAAACCGUAAGGUGAUGUAUAGGGGCUGACGCCUGCCCGGUGCUGGAAGGUUAAGAGGAGUGGUUAGCUUCUGCGAAGCUACGAAUCGAAGCCCCAGUAAACGGCGGCCGUAACUAUAACGGUCCUAAGGUAGCGAAAUUCCUUGUCGGGUAAGUUCCGACCCGCACGAAAGGCGUAACGAUUUGGGCACUGUCUCAACGAGAGACUCGGUGAAAUCAUAGUACCUGUGAAGAUGCAGGUUACCCGCGACAGGACGGAAAGACCCCGUGGAGCUUUACUGUAGCCUGAUAUUGAAAUUCGGCACAGCUUGUACAGGAUAGGUAGGAGCCUUUGAAACGUGAGCGCUAGCUUACGUGGAGGCGCUGGUGGGAUACUACCCUAGCUGUGUUGGAUUUCUAACCCGCACCACUUAUCGUGGUGGGAGACAGUGUCAGGCGGGCAGUUUGACUGGGGCGGUCGCCUCCUAAAAGGUAACGGAGGCGCUCAAAGGUUCCCUCAGAAUGGUUGGAAAUCAUUCAUAGAGUGUAAAGGCAUAAGGGAGCUUGACUGCGAGACCUACAAGUCGAGCAGGGUCGAAAGACGGACUUAGUGAUCCGGUGGUUCCGCAUGGAAGGGCCAUCGCUCAACGGAUAAAAGCUACCCCGGGGAUAACAGGCUUAUCUCCCCCAAGAGUUCACAUCGACGGGGAGGUUUGGCACCUCGAUGUCGGCUCAUCGCAUCCUGGGGCUGUAGUCGGUCCCAAGGGUUGGGCUGUUCGCCCAUUAAAGCGGUACGCGAGCUGGGUUCAGAACGUCGUGAGACAGUUCGGUCCCUAUCCGUCGUGGGCGUAGGAAAUUUGAGAGGAGCUGUCCUUAGUACGAGAGGACCGGGAUGGACAUACCUCUGGUGUACCAGUUGUCGUGCCAACGGCAUAGCUGGGUAGCUAUGUGUGGACGGGAUAAGUGCUGAAAGCAUCUAAGCAUGAAGCCCCCCUCAAGAUGAGAUUUCCCAACUUCGGUUAUAAGAUCCCUCAAAGAUGAUGAGGUUAAUAGGUUCGAGGUGGAAGCAUGGUGACAUGUGGAGCUGACGAAUACUAAUCGAUCGAAGACUUAAUCAA
rnacentral:rRNA from 1 species